rnacentral:lncRNA from 1 species
AAAUAUUUGGGUCAAAUUGCAAAUUUCAGAGACUUCUUUAAAAGUGAAAACCCCCGAUUUCCUCCGCAGCAACCGAGUUCCGUCGCAACCCAUCCACGUAAACAUGUUCCGGCAACCGAGUCGAACGUGCUUCGAUUGUUUCCCCAUCAUUGUGUUCCAGCGAAGUGUUGUUCAUCUUCCUUCACCGUUUUCGUCCAUGGUGGAUGGCGGAGAUGGUGAGUGCUGCUCAAGUUCCACCAUCGAUUUCGUCCAUGGUGGAUGGCGGAAAUGGUGCACCACCCAUAGUACUUAGGUUGCCGAUUUGGGGAUAUUUUGCUAGAAUUUAGGAUUGGUUUUGAUGUGGAUGUCGAGAGGAUAUCUUCGAAGGAUUUUGAAGGAUUGGAAAUUGGAUUUGCAGUUGCCGGAGCCACCGCCGACGGAGGUAAUCGAUCAAAUCGAGUUCACCGAUGGCGAAGGUAUUUUCUGUGUUACCAUCUUCCUAUCUCCAUAUUUCAAUUCUUAGUCGGCG